UUUUGGGUAGGAAAUGAUAUAAUAGUCAAGUAUCUGUGUAUAUUUCAUGCCCUCGUGCCCUGCCUUUUACUAUUUUUGAUAUUUUGAAGCUGCCCAGCUCGUCUGCCAGUCUUUCCAAAUGUCACACAUCUCCAGAAAAGUUUCCAAUGUAUUUAUUGGAAAAAAAAAAUCCCCACAUAGAAAUGGGUCUGCACAGCCCUACAUAAAGAAUCACAUAUGUGUCUGUGGGUUAACCUUGUCAAGUCAGAUUGCAAGGAACUUGGGUAGUUCUGUGGUAAAGUUCCCCUUGAUUAGGAAAAGGUUAAUUCAUGAAGAAACUUGAAGUAUGUCACCUGUUUUUAUAAUGAUUUUCUAGCAUUGACAAAAUCAACCACUCUCGCUAUUUGGAAUUUGAGUUGUUAAGUGAACCUUGUCCACUUGUUUGUCUUCAGAGUCAAAACUUCUGGGCCGCCUAAGUGGCUCAGGGGGUUAAGCAUCUGACUCUUGGUUUCAGCUCAGGUCAUGAUGUCAUGGUUCACGGAUUGAGCUCUGCACCGGGCGCUGCGCUCUACUGACUGGAGAGUGUGCGUCCACCUCCUUGGAGCCCACCUGUACGCCGUGUCUUGGGCGAGCGCUCAGUAUUGGCGGGAGAGAAACCCCACGCGCGGUGACGGACCCUGGCAUCCCUCUCUUCAGAAACCCUUCGUCCAUAUUUCCUGCUUGACUAAGGAAAUAAGACUCUGCCUUUCGUCAAGUCGUACAAUCAUUUUUGAAAAGUGCAUUUCGUAUGGUUGUCUCUGAUUGGGCCAGGUGUUCAGUCUAAGACAGGGCUUUUGAAUACCGUCAGCCUUUCCCCACUGCAGCUCCACAAGCCUGCUUGCCAGACGAGGCCAGAGGCUGGGGAUGGGCAACAGGUUCUCAGGCUGUUGCUCCCAAGUCAGCAGGGUUCCUAAAUCAUAAACCUGCCAGGCACCUGAAAAUGUCUGUCCCCUUGAGAGUAGGUCCCUAAGAAAAUCCCUGGGACUCCUGUGGGUGGUGAUGUGGGGACAUGUGUGUGUUGCUACCUGAGGUUGGUGAGUGAGUGUACUCUGGAGAGCCACGGAGGCCUGGUGCGCUCUUGCUAAUGACCCCCUGUGACUUUCCACUUUUCUCCCCUCUCCACCCCUGGAGUGUACAGCCCUUGCUGAGGAGCUCAACAGCUGUAGGAGCAGCUCUUGCAGAGAAAGGAAGAGGUCGUCAAACUGAAGGCAGAGAGAAACAACACCAGGCUGCUGCUGGAACAUUUGGAGUUCCUCGUCUCCAGGCACUAGAGAUCUCUUCGGAAAACAGUGGUGAGGCUACAGGCGAAGACUACGGCCGGCGUGUGCAUUGAGGCCGAGGGGCUGAAGGUCUUUGAACUCCAUAUUGGAGAACGACAAAAGGGAGGAUGAAACGGUGGAGAGCCAGAUGAAGGAGUGCCUAGCUCCCCUCUCCACUCUCGUGGCCAAGGUGGAGGAAGAUCUAGACAACGCGCGGAAGGAUGUCACCUUUUCAGAAGUAAUGAACACCAUGUUAUGACAAGAUGUGCAUGAAGUGAGAGGCAGUUGAGAAAGCCUCGCUGUCCUCAAGUCAAAUGUGGGGUGUUUGAUUCGGUCUUUGUCCACUCUGUCCUUACUCUCCUACAUUUUUUGAACGUUUGGAGUUUGGUAGAAGUAGCUGCAGAACGGAACGUUAUUCCAGGGCCUGGCAGCUGCCUCCCCGUCUGUAUGAUAGAAUCUGUCUUCCCUGGGCUCUACCCUACGAAAGCCUGGUGGGUAGGCAGCGUUGUGCCUUCAGGUGUGGAGUGCGUGCCACCUGAGCUUGUCCCACGCUGUGCUCACGGUCCGUUCUGGUAACACGCUCAGCACACUCGAAACACUGUGGUGCAGCCGCUCUGUUACUGGCACCGUGUCCGGGGCUGGCUCUGGUUGUGCAUGUGCUCUGUGCUCCCGGGUCACGGCCUGGAAGUGUUGCCGAGGGUUCUCGACUCAGGGCGCUUAGAGUCCAGAUCAGCUUGGGAGGGAGAGUGUCAGCUCCCUGGAGACAGCCCUCUCCGGCAGCUGCCGGCCUGUGCUUCUCACUCGUGUGGGAUGGUGUGUCGUGUGCCAAGAACACGUGGAAGAUGCUCUUCCGUGCUUCACCCAGUCCGACAGGCUCACAGGAUGGUCCUUUGAGCAACCUCAGCAGCAGUAGCAGUAACCAGGACUCCCUGCACAACGCCCCCAAAAGAAGGUCAUCAGUCCCUUGCGCUGUUUGCUAGGCAAGAAACAAAAGGUCCACCCCGGCCACGCUAGUGUUCUGUAUAGCUGCAAAAGGGUUCUAUAUAGCUGCAAAUAGGUUAUAUCUCCUCCAUAGUGAAACUGAGGCCCGUAUUAAGAUAAGGUUCCUGGAGGACGUAGAGCAUGUAUGAAAUCUGGAAAGGACUCACGUGGAAUCCCAUUCCACCUUGUGAUGUUGUGCAGGGACGGCCUUACCCCAGAGCACUUGACUCUAAGCCUGGCUCCUGCACAGAUGAGUUUGGGGCUCUCGGGAAGCUACAUAUUAGCAUUCCUGUGCUUCCGUUUAAUCACCUAACAGGAUCUGUGGGAGCACUUCCGUCACAUGGCUUUUAGGAGUGUCUGCAUCUAAAUAUCCACGAGAUACUUUGAUCACAGAAGUUCCAUCACAUGUGUAACUGCAGCCCCUGUGAGGACAUGGUCACCAGCAUUCAGAAACUGUCAUUCAUCUGGUGGGCUCUCUGGCGCACUCACUAGGUUGCCCCUCCUUUUUCCCUCCCCUGUAGUUUUUGAGUUUCUCUUAGACUAUGACCUUUGCAAUCUAUUCAGUACCACCUAUUUUUAACUGGUCUUGAUUCCAGACAAUGGGUUUCAUUUCCUACCAAGCAGCUGAGGCGCUGUGAUGCCUGGGAUGGGGGCCCAGAGAACUGGUGCAGGCAUAUCCCUCUGGGACUUUCCACUGUAGAGCAGGUCGCUUGUGGGUUGAGUGUGUCCCAGAGCUAAGUGGGUGAAGGAGGUAUGUUGAGACCACAUCCCAGUGAUCCGACAACUGAAAAAUAAAAGUGAACCCUCUUCAACAGAAGAGGUGGUUUGCAGUCUAGCGGGGUGGAGCAGGAGGUGGGCCAAGGGGGACAUUGGAGAUGGUGGGACGACGGGACAGGGCCUUGAGCCGGGGAAGAACUCAGUGGGCUUUGCGAUACACUGGACAGCAGGCAAGGCAUGGGGCCCCUCUCAGUGCCCCGAGUGCCUGCGAGGCCUGGAGUGGGCUGCCUCCCGUCCACACUGGGCCCACAGAGCCGCUUGCCAUAGAGGCUUUUUCCCCUUCAGCCCCGGACUUGUCCGUUCGUUUCUCUUUCCGUCUGCCUCAAUAUAGUCUCCUCAGAACUCAUAAUAAUGACCACGACUGGCACACUCAGUUGUACUUCAGGUGAAAUGCCGUUAUUUCUGUUAAUGCUCCCAAUUCCGUAGGAACCCUCAGGACUUUGUUCCCUGGAAUAGAAAUUUGUAGAAACAGUUUAACAGUGGUCUGAUUUGAAUGCCCCUAUGUUUGAAGUGUAUAAAACUGUUUUACAAUAACUUGGAUACUUGCCACCUGGAUGGUAUAAAAUUUCUUACUGAAAGUAGACUUUUUGCUCCUGGAACCAUGCUGGGAAAAUUCUGUCUCUUAAAUGUUGCCGAUGUGUUUUAUUUCACAUCUUUAUACUUUCUGUAAAGAAAACAGUAAGAUUUAUGGUAGUGCCUUCUGGUUCUCCCACCCCCCCCGGCCCCGAAAUGUGUAUUUUUGUAAGGUCUGAGGUAACAAAAAUUGUGGAUUGGCUGCUUUCUGCGUGGAGCCUGCUUUUGGUCCUUUUCCUCCUUUCUCUCUGCCUCUUUCUCCUCAUACACAUUCCUCUCUCUCUCUCUCUCUCUCUCUGAGACUUUGAAAAGGGCGAUUGAGUGGUUCAGACAAUGAAGCAUCUGAGUCUUGGUUUCGGCACAGGACAUGUUUUCAUACAUGGUGAAUUUGAGGCUUGCAGUGGGCGCAGAGCUGACAGUGGGGAGUUUGCUUAAGAUUCUCUCUCCCAAUUCUCUGCCCCUGCUCUUUUCUUGCUGUUUCUGCCUCUUUCAAAAAUAAAAAAACUAUAAAAAAUAAACCAAUUAGCUAUUGAGAAACCAAUAGUUUCACAGAGAUGAGGAAUUUGCUUUCAUUUUUGCUAUUUGACACUGAUAUUCUUCAGAAAUAUUUUUGACAUCAUAACAUGUUGGCUGCAGCUUGGGAAUAGAGCCUGUAAGUUGUGUUUUGGCAGUAGCCGGAUAUCUCACUGCAAUCCAGGGCCCUGUGCUCUGGGGGAAUGUUUCAGUUAUUUAUUUGAAAAGACACAAAACGUUGCAUUCUCCUUCUACAAAACCAGGACUGAUUUCCUCCCACACCACUACUUAAGACUGUCGUCAUUGCCGUAAGAACGAACCCAUGCUUGUGAGGAGAACAGGGCAAGGGCAAGGGCGCUGUGGGACUGUCCCGGCGUGUGGCAGUGUCUGCAGCUCAAAGACUAUUUGGAAAACGAAAAGGUAGUAUCUUCUAUGGCAGGAAGGUGAUUUCACAUAGACAGUGGAGCAGGCCCAGGCAGCCCAGGACUCUGCUGACUUGUGCCCGGUCAGGGUCCUGGCACAAGUGUGGCCCUGUCCCCCUUUACCCCCUGGGGCUGCCUUCUGGGCAGGGGGCCCGAUGGCUGUCAGGAAUGUGGGUAAAUACCUGUAAACAAAACUGCAGAGCGAGGUCAUUUUAAAGGGCUGGUAACUUUAAUAUACACUUUUUUUUUUUUAAUUUCCAAUUAGUCUUGAUUUCUGGAUGAUGA